AUUGAACGCUGGCGGCAUGCUCUACACAUGCAAGUCGAACGGCAGCACGGACUUCGGUCUGGUGGCGAGUGGCGAACGGGUGAGUAAUACAUCGGAACGUGCCCAGUUGUGGGGGAUAACUACUCGAAAGAGUAGCUAAUACCGCAUGAGAACUGAGGUUGAAAGCAGGGGAUCGUAAGACCUUGCGCAACUGGAGCGGCCGAUGGCAGAUUAGGUAGUUGGUGGGAUAAAAGCUUACCAAGCCGACGAUCUGUAGCUGGUCUGAGAGGACGACAAGCCACACUGGGACUGAGACACGGCCCAGACUCCUACGGGAGGCAGCAGUGGGGAAUUUUGGACAAUGGGCGAAAGCCUGAUCCAGCAAUGCCGCGUGCAGGAUGAAGGCCUUCGGGUUGUAAACUGCUUUUGUACGGAACGAAAAGCUUCGGGUUAAUACCCUGGAGUCAUGACGGUACCGUAAGAAUAAGCACCGGCUAACUACGUGCCAGCAGCCGCGGUAACAC
rnacentral:rRNA from 1 species